AAAGAAAGAAAAAAAGAUUGUUCCAUGCUUGCCAAAGCUACGAUCCAUACUAGCUGUAAAAUAACAUUUAAGCCCCAAGAACUUGACUUACUAUGUCGAGCUAGCCGCAACAGUCACAUUGGCAAAUAUGUCUUGAUAAACUUUUCCAUAAAUAUCAUAUUACAAACUACAAUUGUAUUACACUGUAAAAUUCAUAUUUAUGAUCAAUAUGUUUUUUAUUCACAGUAUGAUGAUGUUUCAAUUGAGGUACUAAAUUGCUACUUCAUAUGUACAGUUCUGGCAUCAAUUUUAGUUUUAGCGGCCAUUAUGAUAGUAACAAAUACAUAUACCAUACAAAUAUUUUGCAUUCUUGAUAAUUAACGUAACUACAUAUUAUCAAAGGGGAGUAAUAUUUGGAUUUUUGUAGCAAUUUUUAAAAUGGCCGGCAAGUCAUGUUCUUUAUUCACAGUAUGAUGAUGUUUCAAUUGAGGUACUAAAUUGCUACUUCAUAUGUACAGUUCUGGCAUCAAUUUUAGUUUUAGCGGCCAUUAUGAUAGUAACAAAUACAUAUACCAUACAAAUAUUUUGCAUUCUUGAUAAUUAACGUAACUACAUAUUAUCAAAGGGGAGUAAUAUUUGGAUUUUUGUAGCAAUUUUUAAAAUCAGCAUCAGUACAAACAACGAAUUCUCCAGUCUGGUAUGAAAGAAUAUAAGGAUCUGCCUGAGUAAAGUAAAAAUGUUAUCAUGAAAUGAGAAGCCUGGCGUUAUAAGGGGACAAUGUUACAAAGGAAGUCAUUCUUUUAUUCUAUUUAUUAUAUUAUUUGUAACUACUCGGGUUUCUUUAGCUAUUGUUUUUGAUCAACUGACCGAUUCUGCAUAUCAGAAAAUAUGGAAAAAUGGACAAAGGUUUGCCCAUAACAUUGUAGUAAGGCGCUCGAUGUUUAAGUAAUUUUGAUCCCGCAAAAAUGAAGAAUUCUGUACAACAAACUAAAGUUCAUAAUUAUUUAUUUAGGUUGAUUGUGAAGCAAGUUCCAAUACUUAUAUUUAUCACCCUCGACACCUCAUUCCUGAUGUAAUCCAUCGCCAUGAGGGUAUGAGAGAAAGAAGCCAGUUUCCCUUUUAAUGCUGAGCGCCUAGCAAGGGAGCUAAAGUGCUGUUAGUCCGAAACUUUAACUAAAAACAAAGUACUUAAAGCUUUUACCAGCAUGAAAUAAUAUAUUUUGCUGGAUAUAGAGUCACGCCGACAAUAUUUAUAUCUUAUGGCGACUUGACCAGCUAUUGAUGGUGAAGGAAUAACCCAGGUGUCCCUCAAGAGAUUGUUUCAGUCACUUGUGGGAACCUGGGGGUAGAACCACCAAUCUUUCGUAAGCCCAGUUAACCAGUUGUAUAGCUCCCUUACAAGAAAAGUCCUACAUCGCAAGCGAGGUAUCAAGUCACAUUGAUGAUGUGCAAGUUAUAUGACCUCAGUCAUGUUUACCACUUGGCCUAGGAGCAACCCAAAAGUACACAUGGUUAAAUUAAAUGUUGUCCGUAUAUUAUGUGAAUUUUACUGAAUUCUUUUGACAUUAGGUAUACAAAUAUAUUAAAGAAUAUUCAUCAAGUUCCACAAAAUAUAUGGUUAUCUAUUAAUUAACGAGAAUAUGAAAUAUGAGUAAUAUAGGGAGGCACUCGGGGCUAAGUAAGAUUUGGUCCAAGUAAUUAGUUUUGUCACAGAGACAUCGUUAAGAUGUUUGUUGGCAUUUGGUUGGACAUUUAAAUAAUAAUCAAACUGGAGCACCUUAUGAAUGAGGCUGGUCGAAAUGGAACAUUAUAAAAAGUAAAUUAAUUAUACAAUUUGAUUUACCAACAUCAUAUACCGUUCUUAAGACACUUGGAGCAGAGGUUAUACACAACGCACUAAAGAGAGAUAAAAUAAUUAUAUCUACCUGCUCCAGAAAGUAAACACUUUUGUCCCUUGAAAAUAAUCAGUGUUACAUCGCGUCAUGAUGUGUCUAAUUACAGGUAUGCAUUUCAUGGAUAACAACAUAUCAAUACAAUAGCUGAAUAUUUUGAUUACUCGUAACAGCAGUUAGGAUAUCAUACUAGUGUUGCAAGCCAGUGCCAAGAAGAAAGUGGACUAAAUAGCAUAAAACCAGCGACAGGUACAUUUCGGUAUAUUAUGACAUGUUAAUUACGUAAGAAAAAGUAUGGAUUAUAUAAUGUGUAUCAUUAUCGAAAAUUUUCAAUGUAAUUUCUGAGAUUUGGAUUAGAAUUCAAUGACAUCUGUUGAAUAGUAAUUGGCAGAGAUUAUAUCAAAGUGUCACUUAUAUUACAUAUAAAGAAUAUGAACUAGUAUUAGGUAAAGGAAAGCGGAAAGCGGACGCAGUGGUCCAGUGGUAACACUGUUCGAGCCUCCGGUCCUCCAACUAAAAAUACUAAAAUUGAGGUAAGUGUCUCGUGUAUGGGUGCUCACACCUGGCACGCUAAAGAACCAGGGAAGCUUUUGGAAUUGGAGUGUCUUCUGUAUCUUGCACUAUCCGCCUACUAACAUUCGUAACAGUCUUCUGGAGGAGUCGCCCAUAUGGGCUACCGGUGGCGACUAUAAAUAAGCUUACAUACACACACACUUAGGUAAAGGAUAAAAAAAGUGAUACGAAUUAGGCUCCCGAAAGUAAAAACAAACCUUAAACGUAAUAUAAAAAAUAUCAACUGUCCUAAUUACACUGGCUUCUUAGUUUAAACUGAAAGGGUUUUUGUUGUCUACAUCCAAAUUAUAUUGCAAUGAAUUGCUUUAUCGAUAAGUAGAUAACUCACAUGCAUAGUUUAGCUACCAACACAAGUAGCGAGACUCUCGUCAGUGUAUCUGUUAUGGCCGUCCAAUGAGAAAUAACAAUGUGAAUUCGGACACGUUCUGAAAUGAAUAUAAAAAUAGGGAUAAACUCGUUAAUCAAUGGGAAAUAAAAGUGUGAACACGGAUGUAAAGGACACAUUCGGAAUUGACUAUAAAAUAUGGAGAAUCUCGUUGGCCACGCAAUGGGAAAUAACAAUGUGAAUUCGAUAUAAAGGCCACACUCGGAAAUGACUAUAAAAUAUGGAGAAUCUCGUUGACCGUCCAAUCGGAAAUAACACGGAUGUAAAAGACAUAUUCAAAAGAACAUAAAGACUGUUUGAUGAAAGUUUUGAAUUUUUCGGAGAGCCAAAACAUCUUUCACAUUGGUUAUAAGAAUGUUAGAAUGUUAUGUGCAUGUCGUCACGCCCAAGUGAUCGUUUAUCAGAAUGAGGAAGUUAAAAUACCAAGAUUACUGCCAUUAACGACUAACAGUCAAUGGUGUGAAUGUUUCAUUACUGUGAAUCUGGUUUCGAGAUCAUGGCAUAAAAGUCGUCUGGGAUAAAAGUUUAGCUUACAUUAUGGUAUAUGAACCGCCUAGUAUGUACAUUUCUUGUAAUAAAAACAAGUGAAAGAAAGUU
rnacentral:lncRNA from 1 species